UACAGAGGUCCCAAGCGUUGUUCGGAUUCACUGGGCGUAAAGCGUGCGCAGGCGGUUUUGUAAGUCUGUCGUGAAAUCCCCGGGCUUAACCUGGGAAUGGCGAUGGAGACUGCAAGGCUAGAGUUUGGCAGAGGGGGGUAGAAUUCCACGUGUAGCAGUGAAAUGCGUAGAGAUGUGGAGGAACACCGAUGGCGAAGGCAGCCCCCUGGGUCAAAACUGACGCUCAUGCACGAAAGCGUGGGGAGCAAACAGG
rnacentral:rRNA from 1 species